rnacentral:rRNA from 1 species
GACGAACGCUGGCGGCGUGCUUAACACAUGCAAGUCGAACGGAAAGGCCCUUCGGGGUACACGAGUGGCGAACGGGUGAGUAACACGUGGGUGAUCUGCCCUGCACUUCGGGAUAAGCCUGGGAAACUGGGUCUAAUACCGGAUAGGACUCCUGGCUUCAUGGUUGGGGGUGGAAGGCUUUUGCGGUGUGGGAUGGGCCCGCGGCCUAUCAGCUUGUUGGUGGGGUAAUGGCCUACCAAGGCGACGAAGGGUAGCCGGCCUGGGAGGGUGACCGGCCACACUGGGACUGAGAUACGGCCCAGACUCCUACGGGAGGCAGCAGUGGGGAAUAUUGCACAAUGGGCGCAAGCCUGAUGCAGCGACGCCGCGUGAGGGAUGACGGCCUUCGGGUUGUAAACCUCUUUCAGCACAGACGAAGCGCAAGUGACGGUAUGUGCAGAAGAAGGACCGGCCAACUACGUGCCAGCCGCCGCCGUAA